rnacentral:tRNA from 1 species
AUUUAAGUAAUUUAAUUAAAAUACUGAUUUGUGGAGUCAAAAAUAUGAUAUAAAUUCAUCUUAGAUA